GUGAUGUCACUAUGGGAACUGCCCUGUGCAGACUAGGGAAGUCCCCCCUCCCCUGCUCAUGCUCACAAGGACUCUAACCUAAGUAACUUCCCAUUCCUGUCCUCACCCUGCCAUGGGUACCAGGCUCCUCUGCUGGGUGAGCCUCUGUUUCCUGGGGGCAGGUCACACCAAUGCUGGAGUGUCCCAGUCUCCUAAGCACUUAGUCACAAAGAGGGGACAGAAUGUCAAUCUCACGUGUGAUCCAAUUUCUGGACACCUGUCACUUUAUUGGUACCGACAAACACUGGGGCAGGGCCCGGAGUUUUUGAUUUACUUCCAAGGCAAGGAGGCCACAGAUGAAUCAGGGAUGCCUAAAGAGCGGUUCUCUGCUGAGAGGCCUGAUGGCUCCUACUCCACUCUGAAGAUCCAGCCUGCAGAGCAGGGGGACUCGGCCGUGUACCUCUGUGCCAGCAGCUUAACCACAGAGCUGCAGAGUCACCCUCUUCCUGCUCUCAAACCCUCAUGUGCUCACCUCUCAUAGUUCCCAGAGUUUUGAACAAAGGAGUGACCCUCUUCUUUCCUCACCAAGGGGAAUAAGUGCUUUGGAAUUUUAAUUGUUGUUCUCAUCUUGGGAUGUCAGGAAAUUACCUUCAAAAUUCCAGAACAGGUCACCUUGGGUAAUAACAUUCUGGCUGUGGAUCUCUGUUAUUUCUUUAUACAGUUCAAGAUUCUACAACUGAGAUUGAACAUCCAGGCUGAGUGUAAGGAAUUGUGGAAUAUUCUGUAAAAUAUAAGAUUUCAACACA